rnacentral:rRNA from 1 species
UGGGGAAUAUUGCGCAAUGGGCGAAAGCCUGACGCAGCAACGCCGCGUGGGUGAUGAAGGCCUUCGGGUCGUAAAGCCCUGUCGGAGGGAACGAAUGCUCCUGGGGUUAACAGCCUCGGGAAGUGACGGUACCCUCAAAGGAAGCACCGGCUAACUCUGUG